rnacentral:lncRNA from 1 species
AAUCUGUGGGGAGUGCUAACCAGACAGUCCUGGGAGUCCUGCGGUAAUAGGAUUAGUUGCGAAGGUCUGCUGGGCAUUAAAAACAACUGUGGUCACUUUAGCAUGUGCUCCAGAAUAGCCUGCCAAAACAAACUGGUUAAUUUUUCUCUUUAAGGGGUUUGCUUUCUGAUCAUCUUUCAGAAUGGCAAAUACUAAACACCAUCAGGUAAUGCUGGACUAACCACUCACUGAAGAGUAUCUACUGUUUAGUCUUUACCUUUUUACCUUCCUGUCACACACAACAGGCAGGAAACAGGGUGUCAAAGAUGAGGAGGUUUGUUCGGCAACACAUUUCUUUUUUAACCUCAGGAGUUAUAAGAUCAUACAUCUCUGCUCCGAAAGCACUGACUUGGACAGCUGGAAUUGUGGUGACAAGAAACGUAUGUUAAUACUUUUUCAUUUAACCAGAACAAGGUAAUCUGAGCCAACCAAAAAGCAUUUCUCUCUUCCCCGCUCACAACACUGAGGAAUGUCAGAGGCCCUCAGGGAGUGAGGAUGCUUUAUGCGGAGUGGCCUGGGAAGGCCGGAAACCACUUAUUGGCUUUACCACUCUAAACCUCUGAAACAGUCAUGUCUCUUCUCAGACCUUUAUAUUUAGACUCCAGACAUCCUUGAGUCACACUUGCUAUAUUAAUACAGUUAAGGCAUCAAAUUAUCAUUAUCGGUAGCAAAACUUCUCUCCCUGUUUUACGACACAGGUAGUUUCAAUAAAAAGUUUUAUACCAGAAAAGAGGAGCUGUGGGCCUCUAUUUCACUUCACUACUCUUUUUCAAAUCAUGUCAGAUGUUAUUUCCUAUGUCUGGAGUCUUUCUGGAUUCUUCUUCUUCUUCUUCUUCUUCUUCUUCUUAUUAUUAUUAUUAUUAUUGGUGUAUAUGUUUACUUCUUAAGCAAGGUUAGAAUUCCAUCUUCAUGUUCAGAUUCUCUUCCACUAUAAUUGUUUUAUUUGUUUGUUUGUUUGUUUUUUCCUGAGACAGAGUCUCACUCUGAUGCCCAGGCUGGAGUAUAGUGGUGCGAUCACGGCUCACAGCAGCCUCAACCUCCCGGGUUCAAGAGAUCUUCCCACCUCAGCCUCCCUAUUAGUUGAGACUAUGGGCACAUCUCACCAUGCCUGGCUAAUUUUUGUAUUUUUUGUAGAUAUGCUGUUUCACCAUGUUGCCCCAGCUGGUCUUGAACUCCUGGGCUAAAACAAUCUACCUGGCUUGGCCUCCCAAAGUGCUGGGAUUACAGGCAUGAGCCACUGUGCCCAGCUCUCUUCCAUUAUAAUUUCACCAUUACCAACCACCUCAGGCUCACAAUUUCCAGAGGUGUUGAAGAAUGAUUGCAGGAAAGUGACUAUCAUACUAUGGAACCCAAUCUACUACUUGUCAAUGCCAGUGGAGAGCAGGGGGUCAUAUGACCUCUCCCCUUUCUGGAUCUUUCUCUCAUACUCACUUCCUCACAGGUGCAAGAGUUUCAGAAGCUGCUUCUACCCUGAGUAACAGUGCUGAGAACUCACUGGAUUGCCCAUGAUCAGUGGGUUCUGGAAGCAAAUGGACAGAAGGAAUUCAAGAUUAACACAGAAAGAGACCAUGACAUCACCACCACAUGCAUGUGGCCUCCAGACAGUAACUGUAAUAUGAGAAACAUCAUACAAUAAUUCAGAAAGUAAUUUCAAGCACCUGCUUUGUGGUAUUAAAAACCCAGAGAAAGUUAUGUGUGCCCAGUUUUAGAAUUUUUCCUGCUCGUUUUAAAAAUUUAUAUUUAGGUUUAAUAAUAUAUAAGCAUAAAAUAGGGAUAACAUAAAUGAGCACUUACUAUAUUCCAGGCGCCACUCUAAUGGUUUCAAGGCGUUUUUUCUUUUUUGUUUUUUUUUUUCUCUCUCACUGAAACAUCACAAUAAUGCUAUUAGGCAGGUUCUAUUAUCAUUCCCAUUUUAUAGACAAGUAAACUUGAAGACAAAUCUUUUUGUCCUUUUUCCAUUUUAUGCAAUGCUAAUUUUAGGCAGAGUACAUAUUUCAAUUAGUAGUUUCCCUUUUCCCAUCACACAAGAAAGAUGUGCUUUGUCUCCCCGAGACAUUUAUUAUUAGAGGAAUAACAGUAAAAUUGAGAGAGAGGAACAAAAAAACCAAUACAUAAAAACAGUGCAAUUUAAAAAAUCAAGUUGAAUUAUUUGGUUGCUUAUUGGCUCAAAGAGACAUUGGGACUUUGCCUCCCAACAAAACCAUUAUUUUUUUUUUCAAUAGUUUCCAACCUAAAUUUCUGAAAUAUUUCUGUUUUAUUAUUUACUAGGUAACAUCCUGUUUAUCAGAAGGGGAAACUAAUGACACUUUAGCUUAUCUCAUUAUAAAACAAAUAGAACCCGGAAUUAUUAAAGUUCUUUUUUAAAUAAAAUAAAAUCAAUGCUUUGGUAAACUUUUUUCUUUUUUUUUGAGACAGAGUCUUGCUCUGUCACCCAGGCUGGAGUGCAGUGGCGUGAUCUCACUCACUGCAGCCUCCACGACCCGGGUUCAAACAAUUCUCCUGCCUCAGCCUCCUGAGUAGCUGGGACUACAGGUGCACGUCCCCACAUCCAGAUCAUUUCUUUUGUAGUUUAGUAGAGACAGGGUUUCUUACUUAACUGUUUCACACCUUUGAACUUGCAUUCUAACGGCAAUCAUUGGAAGCUUAUGUGCACUUCUACGGUGUCUUCCUCUUCCCCCUACUUACCAGGUGCCUUUUGGCUAUGCUUGUUGUUCUGUGAUCUAGAAGUUAUCUUUGAAUCUCUCCCAUCAAACAGAAUGUUGAUACAUGCUUGUUACUUAAAAAUGUUCAAAUGAUUAAUAAAUGAAGAAAUAAAUGAAUAGAGGAAUCUUUUAAAGGUGACGAGGAUAUGGAAAAAUAAUUUAAAAAAAACUUCUUGUAAAUGAAACUGAUUGAAACAUCGCCUAGUUCUUUAAGCUCUGGGUUAGUCAGGUUUGCUGGUUUUAAUUCCUCUCUCCUCCAGAGUAUCAUAUCUAUCUUUACUCUGGACCUUUCUUGAGAAACUUAGAUCAAAUGUAAAGGCUUCCUUGGAACCAAUAAAACAAAAUUACUUAUGUUACAUGUGCCAUGUCAUACCUUCCUUUAAAAUAACACCCAUACAAACACAGACACAUACAUGUUCUCAUAUACACUCAUACAUAUUCACACAUAUGCUUAUAUAAACAACAAACACUAUCACUAUCAUGUUUUAAUAUGGUUAUUGGUGCAUGGUGUCCCUUAGUUCCUUGCAAGCACUUCCUACAUGUUUUCUCACUCAGUAAAGCAUGUGUGUGUCUGUGUGUUUCCAACAUAAUUUUACAGCUAGAUAUUUAAAUCCCAUUCUGGUUCAUAAACUUGUCUGGACCAUCAAGUACAUGUUUUUGCUUUUUCAACACUAGGAAUUUCCCAGGCUCACUGGCAAAACCAAUCAAAUGUCUGUUUCUGUUUCAAAGAUGAACUAUUCAAACUUAUUGGCUUGUACCUGCCUUCUCCCUGCCUCUCCUCUAUCCCUGUGUUACCAAUCUUAAAACAUUAAGUAUGUUGAAAUGAUUCUUAGGUUGGGUGGCAGAAACCACAGGUAUGAG